CUUAUGAAAAUUCAGCACAACCAUUUCCAAGUUAAUCCAAAACUUAUGGGAUAAUUCCAAGGCUCAAAACUAGAAGUAAUAUGAGUGCAAUUAAGGUGUUUAAGAGCAUUUAACCCAUGUUGUGAGUUGACCCUUGGGGUAGGAAUGGAGGUUGAUUAUAGUACUGUUGAUGUUGAGUGAGUCAGAUAUAAUAUGAUUUGAUGUUGUUAGUAAUGAGAUAUAUUUGUAUAUGCAUUAUGUGGAUUAUAUAAGAUGUUUAAGUUGAUGUUGAUUAUCAUUUGAUAUUGUUAUAUCUUGAGAUGUUUAUGUGCUGCCUAUGUUGCUGUUGUAAAUUGAUUAAGCUGCAUGUGUCGGUCUAAGAUGUAAGAUGUCGUCCAAAGUAUUGGAGUCUUAAGUUGUUGAUGUUGACAAAGUUGUGGAAUGAUUGA
rnacentral:lncRNA from 1 species